AAAAAAACGAAUCAUCGAACGAAAACAAGCACUAUAUGGCUCUGAUACCACUGUUGGAUAAAAUCAAUUAAAUAUCCAAAAAUAUAAGUCGCAAAAAUCUCAUAGAUUUUUACAUACCUCUUUUGUGGUGCGGAAUUAAUGUUGUGAUUACCAGGAUCUGAUCUCGUCUUGUUUUACGAACUCGUUGAUCCGCCAACGUCCUGUCUCAAUUUGUUGCGUGUUGUUCUUUCUCGUUGCAAUCCGGCUACUAGAGUCGAUUGCCGCACACCGCCCAAAUCCCUAGGAUUUAUGAUGGUGCCCUAGAGCGAACCAAAGAGAGAGAAUUUUUGUGGAGAGAUGAUUCUUAUUUUUUUCGUUGUCUUGUAUGUGGUCAAUACCUCAUGUAUUUAUAGGCCAUAAGGGAGAUAUUAAUCCUAAUCAUAUUCUAACUAAAUCUCACAUAGAUAGAGAUUUAAACAGAUUAGGAUUUAUCCGUUAGAUUUAUUCCUUAUCCCAAGUGGACUAGGAAUAUAACAGAUAAUUAUAAAUAUUUAUUUCUUAUCCCAUAUGGAUUAGAAAUAUUUUAGAUAAGUCCUAAUGUGGACGAAUCCUAACACCGUGCAUAAUGCUUCUUCACCUUUUUUGACCAGUUCUUCGUAAAGCUUAAUUAUGAAAUUUUAGUGAAUUACUUUAAAUUUGAAAGAAUGAACCUUAUUCCCAUAUACUUCUUUAUUCCC
rnacentral:lncRNA from 1 species